AUUGAACGCUGGCGGCAUGCCUUACACAUGCAAGUCGAACGGCAGCACGGGUGCUUGCACCUGGUGGCGAGUGGCGAACGGGUGAGUAAUACAUCGGAACGUACCUUAUCGUGGGGGAUAACGCAGCGAAAGCUGUGCUAAUACCGCAUACGCCCUGAGGGGGAAAGCGGGGGAUCGAAAGACCUCGCGCGAUUAGAGCGGCCGAUGCCCGAUUAGCUUGUUGGUGGGGUAAAAGCCCACAAAGGCGACGAUCAGUAGCUGGUCUGAGAGGACGUGCAGCCACACUGGGACUGAGAAACGGCCCAGAAUACUACGGGAGGCAGAAGUGGGGAAUUUUGGACAAUGGGGGCAACCCUGAUCCAGCAAUGCCGCGUGAGUGAAGAAGGCCUCCGGGUUGUAAAGCUCUUCGGUCAGGGAAGAAACACCGGCUCUAACACAGUCCGGGAAUGACGGUACCUGAAGAAUAAGCACCGGCUAACUACGUGCCAGCCGCCGCAGUAA
rnacentral:rRNA from 1 species